UCGAGAAUCUUCGGCAAUGGGGGCAACCCUGACCGAGCGACGCCGCGUGGUGGAUGAAGGCCUUCGGGUUGUAAACACCUGUUGGGGGGGAACAUAACGAGUGAACCCCUGAGGAAGCACGGGCUAAGUUCGUGCCAGCAGCCGCGGUAAGACGAACCGUGCAAACGUUACUCGGAAUCACUGGGCUUAAAGAGCACGUAGGCGGCGACAUAAGUCAGAGGUGAAAUCCCAUCGGCUCAACCGUGGAACAGCCUCUGAUACUGUGUUGCUUGAGGGAGAACGGGGCAUUCGGAACUUCCGGUGGAGCGGUGAAAUGUGUUGAUAUCGGAAGGAACGCCGGUGGCGAAAGCGGAAUGCUGGGUCUCUUCUGACGCUGAGGUGCGAAAGCUAGGGUAGCGAA
rnacentral:rRNA from 1 species